rnacentral:sRNA from 1 species
GCAACUUUGUAGGCGCCGCCUUUACGCGUCAAGGAACCAUCGAAGUUGGAAACUGCCAUUGGAGGUGUUUUUUGAAGGUUGGCUCUGUUCUUUUGGGAGGAACUAUAACAGGUUAGGGAGAAAUAUAUUUGUGAUUAGAUUUUGGAUGUGCACAAUGUGCGGAGGGAUGAAGUGUUGCAGGAUUUAGGCAUUGAGUAGAUGUUGUUGAAUAGGGAUUUUUGCAACUUUAUUAAUGGUUUCUUUAGAACUUUUUCGAUAUGUAUUAAUGAGGACUGAAUGUACAUAUUUGUUGUUAAA